rfam:Nasonia vitripennis chromosome 1, whole genome shotgun sequence.
CAAUCGGCCCUUUUCAGGGCCACCAAAUGUUUUAACGUUGGAAUAU